rnacentral:rRNA from 1 species
UACGUAGGGUGCGAGCAUUAAUCGGAAUUACUGGGCGUAAAGCGUGCGCAGGCGGUUUUGUAAGCCAGGUGUGAAAUCCCCGGGCUUAACCUGGGAAUGGCAUUUGGGACUGCAAGGCUUGAGUGCGGCAGAGGAGACUGGAAUUCCUGGUGUAGCAGUGAAAUGCGUAGAUAUCAGGAGGAACACCGAUGGCGAAGGCAGGUCUCUGGGCUGACACUGACACUGAGACCCGAAAGCGUGGGGAUCAAACAGACGUUAGGAAACCUAAG